CGCGCGAUGCUUUGCGAGGCGCUGGAGCAGUAUGAGGCUGGGAUCGCGGAGCUGCGGCACCCGCCCGCCGCCCGCU
rnacentral:SRP_RNA from 1 species